ACCUGCCCUUCUAAAAAGUCCCUCCCCAGCUUCCCUGUAGGCCCCCUUCAGGUACUGGAAGGUAGCUAAAAGGUCCCCUCGGAGCCUUCUCUUCUCCAGGCUGAUAAGCCCCAGCUCUCUCAGACUCUCCUUGCAGCGGAGGUGCUUCAGUCCUCUGAUAUCUUCAUGGACCUUCUCUGGACCCACUCCAACAGCCCCAUGUCCUUUUGUGUUGGAGGCUGCGGAACUGGAUGGAAUACUCCAGUGCCACCAACAUGCUUGGCAGCUCUGUUCUUUCUACCAAGAGGAGGCCAAAAAAUGAGCAGCAAGUAGGGAUGGCUGAUGGCUGUCAUUACUCUCUGUAUCCCCAGUGCUGUGAGGUGAGAGGGACGCAGUUUGGAGAACAGGACUCCAAGAAGCUCAGGGACAUGACACAGAACAGAGCCCACCCUGCAGCACUGCCUCUCCCUCUACUCAUCACAUGGACUACUCCCUACAGCUGCAGCACUGUCUCUUAAGGAGGCUGAAGACCAGAGAGGCAGCAACAGCUGGCCUCUGAUUGGGAACUACUGAUUUACAUCACUAAUAAAAGCAUAAAAUGUAAGAAUGACACAA